rnacentral:rRNA from 1 species
CAGAGGGUGCAAGCGUUAAUCGGAAUUACUGGGCGUAAAGGGUGCGUAGGUGGUUUUGUAAGUCAGAUGUGAAAUUCCCGGGCUUAACCUGGGGACUGCGUCUGAUACUGCGAAGCUAGAGUACUGUAGAGGGAAGUGGAAUUUCCGGUGUAGCAGUGAAAUGCGUAGAUAUCGGAAGGAACAUCAGUGGCGAAGGCGACUUUCUGGACAGUUACUGACACUGAGGCACGAAAGCGUGGGGAGCAAACAGGAUUAGAUACCCUGGUAGUCCAUGCUGUAAACGAUGAAGACUGGCUGUUGGGUGCCCUUGGGCACUUGGUAGCGAAGCUAACGCGUUAAGUCUUCCGCCUGGGGAGUACGGCCGCAAGGUUA